rnacentral:rRNA from 1 species
GACAGAGGGUGCAAACGUUGUUCGGAUUUACUGGGCGUAAAGCGCGUGUAGGCGGCUUUGCAAGUCGGAUGUGAAAGCCCACGGCUCAACCGUGGAAGUGCAUCCGAAACUGCAUGGCUUGAGUCUCGGAGAGGAAGGUGGAAUGCUUGGUGUAGAGGUGAAAUUCGUAGAUAUCAAGCAGAACACCUGCGGCGAAGGCGGCCUUCUGGACGAUGACUGACGCUGAGGAGCGAAAGCGUGGGGAGCGAACAGG